rnacentral:rRNA from 1 species
UACGUAGGGUGCGAGCGUUGUCCGGAAUUAUUGGGCGUAAAGAGCUCGUAGGCGGUCUGUCGCGUCGAUCGUGAAAACUUGGGGCUUAACCCUGAGCUUGCGGUCGAUACGGGCAUGACUGGAGUUCGGCAGGGGAGACUGGAAUUCCGGGUGUAGUGGUGAAAUGCGUAGAGAUCCGGAGGAACACCAGUGGCGAAGGCGACACGCUGGGCCGUACCUGACGCUAAAGCGCGACAGCAUGGGGAGCAAACGGG